rnacentral:rRNA from 1 species
GGGGGAAGAGGGAAGAAAGGGGGAAAAAAAGAGGAAGCAAAGAAGAGUGAGAGAUGAAGGUUGUCGGAUCGUAAAGCUCUGUCUUUGGGGAAGAUAAUGACGGUACCCAAGGAGGAAGCCACGGCUAACUACGUGCCAGCAGCCGCGGUAAUACGUAGGUGGCGAGCGUUAUCCGGAUUUACUGGGCGUAAAGGGAGCGUAGGCGGAUGAUUAAGUGGGAUGUGAAAUACCCGGGCUCAACUUGGGUGCUGCAUUCCAAACUGGUUAUCUAGAGUGCAGGAGAGGAGAGUGGAAUUCCUAGUGUAGCGGUGAAAUGCGUAGAGAUUAGGAAGAACACCAGUGGCGAAGGCGACUCUCUGGACUGUAACUGACGCUGAGGCUCGAAAGCGUGGGGAGCAAACA